CCUCCAAGCAGGUAUCCAGCCCUGCGGUUUGCUCUGGCGUUCCCCGACCCCCCCUCCAAGCAGGUCUCCUUCCCCGCGGUGUGCUCUGGCGUUCCCCGACCCCCCCUCCAAGCCGGUCUCCUUCCCCGUGGUGUGCUCUGGCGUUCCCCGACCCCCCCUCCAAGCAGGUAUCCAGCCCCGCGGUGUGCUCUGGCGUUCCCCGACCCCCCCUCCAAGCAGGUAUCCAGCCCCGCGGUGUGCUCUGGCGUUCCCCGACCCCCCCUCCAAGCAGGUCUCCUUCCCCGCGGUUUGCUCUGGCGUUCCCCGACCCCCCCUCCAAGCAGGUCUCCUUCCCCGCGGUGUGCUCUGGCGUUCCCCGACCCCCCCCUCCAAGCAGGUCUCCUUCCCCGCGGUGUGCUCUGGCGUUC